rnacentral:lncRNA from 1 species
AUUGAUUUCCGAACCGAUUUGCCGCCAGUGUUGGUCGUCGUAGUCGUCCUCUUGCCAAUCGCCACAUUGGUUUGGUUGUCGCUUCAUGGGUUCACAUUUCCCUUCGAUAGUCAAUGCAGCCACCAUUUGCGUGAGGUUGCAAAGAGGCUCGUCAAUCCUGUCGAGUCAUUGCUCGAUUUUUUCGAACUGUCGUUGUCAUCGAUGGUUCGUUUUCCACUAGAACCAUCGUUAACUAUCAGAUCGAGGU